rnacentral:rRNA from 1 species
CUAAGUUUGAUGGCGACCGGCGCACGGGUGAGUAACACGUAUCCAACCUGCCGAUGACUCGGGGAUAGCCUUUCGAAAGAAAGAUUAAUACCCGAUGGUAUAGUUCUUCCGCAUGGUAGAACUAUUAAAGAAUUUCGGUCAUCGAUGGGGAUGCGUUCCAUUAGGUUGUUGGCGGGGUAACGGCCCACCAAGCCUUCGAUGGAUAGGGGUUCUGAGAGGAAGGUCCCCCACAUUGGAACUGAGACACGGUCCAA